CAGCACCUGCCUUGCCUGGAGGAGAGCAUGGAAGAGCAGGAAGAAAAGCCCCUGGAGGCCCCCGUGCAGGUGAGUGGAGCUGCGCUGCCCAGAGCGACCCCAGGUCUGCUGCCACGCAGGGCCGGCAGUCCAGCCCCCGGGGUUGGCCACUGUGGCUGUGUGGUCCAUCACGGCCAACAGGCUCCUGGCUCUUGUGUGCUACACAUUUUAGGGAUCUCUGCUAUGGGUCUUGGGUCUUGUCGGAGAGAACUCCACCUGAGAGGAAUUUGGGGUCCUGAUUGAGAAACCCCCGAGUACUGUUUGGAUCUCCCCAGCAGUUCAUGGCUUCUUUGGAGAGUGAGCAGUACAUGUUUUUGAAAUGUGCAGCGGCUCGUGGCUCAGUAGAGGGGACCAGUACACCUGAAUGAGCCGAGGACCCUCUGCUUCCUCAGGAAGUUCCCAUCAAAGCUGAGGAAGAAGAUGCCGGGUCACUGGCCGUCACUUCUCAGGGACCAAGCUUCAAAGUUAUGACGGUAGACUUCACUCAGGAGCAGCCUGGCCCUUGGAGGCCUGUGCAAGAGACAGCAAACAGAGAGACCGUCCUGGACAAGCACAAGGACCUGGUCUCUUUGGGGUGUGUUCCUUUGCUGUUUUCCAGAUUUGACAAUUGUACUUGGAAGAAGAGACUGCAUUUCAAAGCAGAGCCUGCCAGAUGAAGUGAAGACAAAAAGGUUGAUGCGGGAUGAUCCUUGGGUGCCUACAGGUGAAGAAGUCUGUGACUAUAAGGACCAGCGGCAGAAGCAAAAGGAGAAGCAAGCGAGGCGUUUGCAGGAAGUGGCAAUCACUCAAAGGAAAGCUGUUAUUCACACCGCAGUCUGCCAAGGUGGGAAGCUUGAGGAGGGUGGGCUGGAGCCCAGUCCGCCAUCACUCCCACUGAUACCUGUAAGAAGCCAUUUUCAUAAACAUGUAUCAAAUGAUAAAAAAUUACCUCAGAAUGUUGCAGUAAACAGUUAUCAGAAGACACAUAACCACGGGCAGCUAUGUGAGAAGAGUGAGUGUGGAAAGCUUCCUGAGAGCAUUCACCUCAUUCAAGUUACAAGAACUCAAACAGUAGAUACACCAUAUGGCUUUAGCAGCAUCAUUCCAUCCCCUAGCCACCCUAUACCUCCAAACAGGCAUGGACAAAUUCAUGGGACAGGAGAAACCUUAAGUUUGAAGGCAUGUGGGCAAGUUUUGAACCAGAGCAUGUCAAAGGAGCAGCUGGGGCUUCCUGGUGAUGAGAGUCAGCACACAUGCAGUGAAAUCUCUCAGAGUUCAUCUCUGGCUCCAAAUGUGAAAAAUCAUUCAGAAGAGAAACCAUUUGAGUGUCAUCACUGUGGUAAGUCCUUCAGCUGGAGCUCGCAUCUCAUUGCACAUCAGAGGAUUCACACAGGAGAGAAGCCUUAUGAGUGCAGCCAGUGUGGGAAAUCCUUCAGCCGCAGCUCACACCUUGUUUCACAUCAGAGAACUCACACUGGAGAGAAACCCUACAGAUGUAACCAGUGUGGGAAGUCCUUCAGCCAGAGCUACGUCCUUGUUGUGCACCAGAGGACUCACACAGGAGAGAAACCUUAUGAGUGCAGCCAGUGUGGGAAAUCCUUCCGGCAGAGCUACAAGCUGAUAGCUCACAAAAGAACUCACACUGGGGAGAAGCCCUAUGAGUGCAACCAAUGUGGCAAAUCCUUCAUCCAGAGCUACAAGCUGAUAGCACACCAGAGAAUUCACACUGGGGAGAAGCCCUAUGAGUGCAACCAAUGUGGCAAAUGCUUUAGUCAGAGCUACAAGCUGGUUGCUCACCAGAGAACUCACUCAGGAGAAAAGCCCUUUGAGUGUAAUCAGUGUGGCAAGUCUUUCAGUUGGAGCUCCCAGCUGGUGGCCCAUCAAAGAACACACACUGGAGAGAAGCCCUACGAGUGUAGUGAGUGUGGGAAGUCUUUCAACCGCAGCUCUCACCUCAUUAUGCACCAGAGAACUCAUACUGGAGAAAAACCUUAUGAAUGUAAUCAAUGUGGGAAGUGCUUCAGUCAGAGUUACGUUCUUGUUGUACAUCAGCGAACUCACACUGGAGAAAAACCCUAUGAGUGCAACCAGUGUGGCAAAUCCUUCAGGCAGAGUUCAUGUCUUACCCAACAUCAGAGAACUCAUACUGGUGAAAAGCCCUACGAGUGUGGUCAGUGUGGAAAAACAUUCAGCUUGAGUGCUCGACUGAUUGUCCAUCAAAGAACUCACACAGGAGAGAAACCAUUUACUUGCAGCCGGUGUGGGAAAGCUUUCAUGAACAGCUCUAAACUUAUUAGGCAUCAGGCCACUCACUCAGAAGAGAAACCCUACGACUGUGAUUAGUUGGGAUAUUGUCAGCCAGAGUUGAUUCCUUUCUCUUGUAUUCUUUUUCAACAUUAUUUUAAGGGAGUGCAUUUAGUGGAAAAAUGGGAUAAAAGCAAGGUAUGGAAAAAUGUGCAUUUGUCACUUUACUGGAUAUGUUGAAACUUGUUCUGAAGAAUUGGGGAAAGCCUGCCAAAUAAAUAUAUUCCCCAUACAGUCAGAAUGGGUCCCCAUGACACAUUCGUACAAGAGUACUAAAUAUUGGCACUUUUCUUUGCAGAAAAAGCUCAGAUCUGUUUUUGAGACAAAAUCAUUAUGUUGUGGAGUAAUGCCUGUGAGUUCGACUCCCAAUACCCAAUAAAAUGCCAACAAUAGUUGACUUCCAGAGAUUAUUGAAAGAUUUCUGGGGAAUGAUAACUCAGUGUAGCAUUUUACAUGAUAGGCCCACUAAUUAGUUUGUAAUGUGAUUCAUACAGCACUUUCUUAUGUGAAUUUUUCUUAAAAAAAAAAAAAAAAGACUGCUGUAAUAUGAACUACACAAAAACAAAUAUCUAUAAUAUUAAUAUGAAAAUAUUUCUUGAAAAUAACUGGAAGGAAUUAUAGCUGUAUCUUUUUGUUUUAUGUCAUGUCUUGUUUUUGGAAUAUAUAUAUGUAUGUCCUCUGCUAAAAUAAAUGCUGUGUUAAAAAAAAAUUUGUAAAGAAUAUGCUAAUCUUGUUAGAGGACUUAGGAAACACCGAGUCACAGUAUAGCAAAGACCUAAUUUGGACCAGCAGUGUGAGCAGCUCAUUCUUGAGGACUGGUAUUCCAAGGGGUGCAGGAAAUGUCCGACUGAGUGACAGAAGAGGAAUUGGGCAGUUAGAGCAGAGCAACUGGGCAGAGUGUGUGGGGUCAUUUCAAGGUACAUAGUGCAAA